rnacentral:misc_RNA from 1 species
AUGAGGUGCUGGACAAAUGGUGAUCAUGUGUUUGCCACGUAUCACCUGAUUACCUCAUUUCUGAUCAUCCGAAACAGGGGAUCUCCCAGCAAGCAAUAGUGGGGGUAAUCUCUCCGAGUUCCAAUCUCUGAUAACUGAUAUCAAAAACUGUCAUCCAAUCCUGUUCUAAAUGUGCUCCAUAUCCAACCCCACAUCUAAACAAACAUAAAUGGAACCCAUAUCCAUAACUCCAUGCUCCAAAAUCUAUUUGCCUAAUCCAAGAAUAUCAGCAAAAGCCCACUUCAACUGUUCACUCAUCACACCAGUAACCCACUUGAAUUCCCUGAAAAACAGCACCAUUCAACUUGAGAAUGCUAAAGAUAUAACUUUACCAACCAUGGCUGACAUUUUAGCCUCAUCCAAGACCCAGAACCUCGAUCUCCAGCUCAAAACACUAGGACCUUUCUUUAGAAUCACAGCAAGGAGUCUUGAUACCCUUAAUGAGCUUGGAAGAGCUGAAGGGCUCAUAAGGGUUUGGUUGGGAGGCAAGAUUCUUCAUUUGGAUUCGAUAAGAUUGAGAAGAGAGACGAUGGGCAUGGAGAGGUCAAUUUUCGGCAUUGGUUUGUUUAUUGGAGCUGUUGCUAUUCGGUAUGGAUAUGAUUGUGGGUGUAGAACUGCUGAGUUGCUUGCUAUUAAUGACACUGAUCUUUACCAUUCUAAGGUUCUUGCCUUUCCCAUUGCUUCUCUUUUUUAAUUUAUCAAAAUCAAACCAGCUCUGUUAGUGGUGGAUACUGUUCCGAAUUUUGCCAUUCCUUUUCUUAGAACAACACUAAAUGGUACAUAUUGCAAUUUCAUAUUGCUGAAUUCCUCAACCCUUUUGUAUUUUACUUUUUCUGGGUAUAAAUUUAUCUGGUUUGGUUUUCUGUGGCUGUGAGUUGUGAUGGAAAAAAAUGAGUAAGCAAUUUGUUGUAGGCUCUAAUUAUUGAGGAAUAAGCAAUUUUAACAGUCAGAGGUUACCAAGGAAUGACAUUAGCACUGAUACUAUCAUUAUAUAUUGUUGCAUGAAAACUAUUGGGCUUCGCUGGAAAACACCUUCAAAGCUAUGGUAACUCUUCAAUCAGCUAAGGUGGUUGCCAUUUUAAAAUAUAUAUUAUAGGAUGUUUUAGCAGUCAGGGUUUUCACCUAGGUGGCUGAAUCAAUUAUAAAUUAUCUCACCUUGUUUCUUAACUUAUUAGCUUGUUAGGUUCUAUACAAGAAUUGGGUUCAAGGCUGUCCAUGAAGUAACUGGUUCAACAAUUGGAGAUCUUGCUCAUAUGUUGGUCUGGGGAGGCAUAGGAACUCGAAUGGAUGCUGAUAUUGAAGAGCUUCUGAUAAAAUGGUGCACCAGGUUCAAACGUCAAGAUUGAUUUCAUACCAUUUCUUAAAAAGUUUGUCCUGUGAUGCAAAGGCUGAAAACCUGAACUGAAUGAAUCAUGUAUGUUUAGUAGCAUUGGCUUAAAGCACUGCUCUAAUCUUUUAUUUGCCUAUCUGAAUAGAAAGUUUUUCCCAGCAUUUGCUUGCUUUGAGCUCUGGAGUUGAGCUAAGUAGAUACUCAAUUUAGGCUGUUGAUGUGUGCCAAAAGGAGGGGAAAGGUACUUCUCUUGAACUUCUCUUUGAUUGAAGUAAUUAUAUUGUAAAACAAUGUGCAGAAUAGACUGUAGAAAGAAUGACCAUUGCUUGGAUGUAGAUAUUGUAGUCAUAUACAAUCUUGCUUGUGUUUCCUAAGUUUCCCAUCAAAUCUGUACUUUUUACUACUUUUUAAUGAUUAUUAUUUUGUGGAAAUAAUAAUUUUCUAGAAUCCACUGUCCCGAUUGUCCCAAUAUGUGCAUUUUGUGUUAACUAGUUUAUGCUCAAGCAGAUUGAAUUUAGUUGCCAUGGUAGCUAAUUUUUCAGUAGUUAUUUGGGUGAUGUUGCUGUGAAAAUGAUAAUGCUUAUCAAGUUGCUGUGUUACUUCCACCAAGACUCUUCUAACGUCCUGAAUGGUCUUUAUCAGUUUUGGUUUUCCUUUCUUCUUCUUGUCUGAAUAUACGCACAUAUAACAGAAGACAGAAGACGGUUACCAGCCUCUUUAGGGAUCUGUUUACCACUGAAAUUUCUGUAGUUUGUGAACAUCAAAUAUAUAGCCAACCCCAUUUAGUUUGGGAUUGGGGUUUAGUUGUUGUUGUUGAACAUCUAACAUAUAAUUUUCGUAGUUGAAUUAGAUAAUUUUUGCUCUCAGACUGUCUACUCUUACCUCAAAGAAGUUAGUUUUGUUUCAGUUAUUGGACUAAUUCAACUAACUGCAGCAUUACCGAUUGCUAAUCAAAUAAAUGAAGUGGCAACUUGAAUCCCAGAUCAUAAAAACCUAGGGCCUGUGUCUUACAAAUGAAAAAUCUAAGAGAAUAGACACAUAAUAGCUAGGAAAAGCACACCUUUUAAGGUUGAGAUUAACUGUGAAAGAGAAUCUGGAUUUUAGCAGUUGAAUUUCCAAGAAUAAGUAAUGAAAAGGCUAGUAAUGAAUAAGUAAUGGAUCUUUAUUCACUUUCUUGCAGGACACCAACAGAAAGCACCAACGGAUCAAUGUUCAUCCUGUUGAAUUUGGUUAACAUCCCCAGUCAUCAAUACUGCAAAAAAUCUUGAAACCUCUAAUAUGCCAAAUGAAAAUUGAGAGGAAACUGCAAUAGGACAACAAAAAAAAGAUAAAGCAGAAGUAAAAUAAGAAGAACCCAUUUACUUUAGUGAUCAAACCUUUACCUAUAACCUUGAUAAAUUUAUCUGGCAGUCAUUCAAAUUUAUUAAUUUUUUCAAUUCUGUUAUUAUAUUUUAAUUUGUUUUACUAAAAUUACUCAUUUUUAUUAACGGUUACUUAGACUAGAAUUCAAUAAAAUCUUCGAUAAAACUCUUAUAUAGUGUGUCCUAGGUAGCUUUAACUUAAUUCAACUUAACUCAACUAAG